AGAAUCAACGCUGGCGGCGUGCCUAACACAUGCAAGUCGAACGAGAAAGGGGUAGCAAUACCCUGAGUAAAGUGGCGCACGGGUGAGUAACACGUGACUAACCUACCCUGGAGUGGGGGAUAACUGAGGGAAACCUUAGCUAAUACCGCAUAAUACCUACGGGUCAAAGGAGCAAUUCGCUUUGGGAGGGGGUCGCGGCCGAUUAGUUAGUUGGCGGGGUAAUGGCCCACCAAGACGAUGAUCGGUAUCCGGCCUGAGAGGGCGCACGGACACACUGGAACUGAAACACGGUCCAGACUCCUACGGGAGGCAGCAGUGGGGAAUUUUGCGCAAUGGGGGAAACCCUGACGCAGCAACGCCGCGUGGAGGAUGAAGUACUUCGGUACGUAAACUCCUUUCGAUCGGGACGAUUAUGACGGUACCGAGAGAAGAAGCCCCGGCUAACUUCGCGCCAGCAGCCGC
rnacentral:rRNA from 1 species